UACGUAGGGUGCAAGCGUUAAUCGGAAUUAUUGGGCGUAAAGCGUGCGCAGGCGGUUAUUCAAGGCAGAGGUGAAAUCCCCGGGCUCAACCUGGGAACUGCCUUUGUGACUGCAUAGCUAGAGUACGGUAGAGGGGGAUGGAAUUCCGCGUGUAGCAGUGAAAUGCGUAGAUAUGCGGAGGAACACCGAUGGCGAAGGCAAUCCCCUGGACCUGUACUGACGCUCAUGCACGAAAGCGUGGGGAGCAAACAGG
rnacentral:rRNA from 1 species